UACAAAAUACUUUACGACUGAAAGCAGAGCAGUGAAUCGAGCGUAGAUAAGGAGCAUCGAGCGCAUUUUGAAUGAUUGUGAGAGAGGGAAUCGAGACGAAUAUUUUUGAAAUAAAACUAUAGGCACCCGAGAAUUUGGUGAUAAACUCCCACUAGUGGCAGAGCAUCCCUCUUUAAAUGGGGGGAGGUUGAUCCAACACCCAACACAUCUCCCAAUCGUGGUGAAUCUAUCCAAGCGUGGUUUCCACAAGUUUUGUAAAAUUAUAUGACAGUCAAAAUAAACGU